rnacentral:lncRNA from 1 species
GAAGAAUCACAAUUCAGAUAAUGUGCACAAAAUCAAUAAAAAACAAAAUUGGUUAAAAAUUUGGACAAGAACAUGGCUUACAGGCAGGCGGAACAUAAGACAUAAUAAGAAUUAAACACAUGGAAAAUCAGACGGCAAAGUAAUACUACACUAGCAGUAGUAGCAUUUCUCUGUAUGCUCACAGACAUUACAUAUGGCUUAAAUGAAACAUCUGACCUCAACAAAGGUUUUCUAGUAACUCCUGAACAAAAAUUUAAGCCUAUCCAGCUAACCCUCUUCAAUGAGCAAAAGGAGGUAAGCCACAAACACUAGUAUUUAACUGUAUAAAUGCAUAAUGGCUCACCACAAAAAGACUACAUUUCUAUAGCUAUGCAUAUUUUAGUAAAAAAUACGAACUUUCAAACCCUGUCUAAUUUCUAUCACAUUUCUAUGCAGGGUUUAAAAAAGGUUACACCGCCGCAACCUAGGCUGCGAUAUCAAAGUUUUUGAUGUCUCCACAAUUGCAACACAAACACAAUUAAAAUUGCAUUUAACCGUGAUUCUCAACCGUAUCAAGAAUCGCAACGCGGUCGCAAUUUAAAACCUUGUUUCUAUAACAAACAUCUUAUUUUUCCAAAACAGCAAGAAAAAAAAUUGAGCUAACC